rnacentral:misc_RNA from 1 species
AAGUCGUAACAAGGUUUCCGUAGGUGAACCUGCGGAAGGAUCAUUAGGAAUAAAAAAAUCUUUUGGAUUUUUAAUUUUUUUUUUACAAUCUUUUUCACUCUUUGUCUAUAUAUUGUGUAUGUAUGGAGAACGGCUUGCUAUUCUGUUGUAUGUAUGUAUAUAUAUAAGCAAGGUUGUGGAGAGACUUAACAAUUAAUGAAAAGUGUUUGUGUAUUUCACUACAUAUUCCAUUUUUCAUAAUCCGAAUUUUUGGCUAUUUAUUUAUAAAACUAAAAACUUUCAACAACGGAUCUCUUGGUUCUC